rnacentral:lncRNA from 1 species
CCCGCAAAAGAUGAUGUGUUCUGAACACAGUACAGUAAAAAGUUUACUGUUUCAAAUUUGAAUUUCAAAUUUAAAUGCAUGCUGUUGUAUCAUAUUUAGAUCCUAGUGUAGGAUUAAUUAAUAUUAAUUAAUAAAAUUAAUUAAUAAUUCCACUGUAAAAUAGUAAUUUUGAAAAAUUUUUAAAAUUACUAUUUUGCCCCUGCACUGAAUUUUCGCUUCAGAGGCUUCUUCGGUCAGUGUGGACUUUCUUUUGCAGGUGCUCGUUUCUGACGACCAGGCGAUGAGGGUAUUAGCCGCAAC